AAACUAGAUUAGAUACCCUAUUAUGCUUAGUCGUAAACUUAAAUAAUUAAUAAACAAAAUUAUUCGCCAGAGUACUACAAGCAACAGCUUAAAACACAAAGGACUUGGCGGUGCUUUAUAUCCCUCUAGAGGAGCCUGUUCUAUAAUCGAUAAACCCCGAUAAACCUCACCACUUCUUGCUAAUUCAACUUAUAUACCGCCAUCCUCAGCAAACCCUGUCAAGGCCUCAUAGUAAGCAAAAACACAUACAUAAAGACGUUAGGUCAAGGUGUAGUCUAUGGAGUGGAAAGAAAUGGGCUACAUUUUCUAACAUAAGAACAACACCCCAACAGAAGCCUUUAUGAAACUAAAAGCCAAAGGAGGAUUUAGCAGUAAAUUAAGAAUAGAGAGCUUAAUUGAAUUGGGCCAUGAAGCACGCACACAUCGCCCGUCGCUCUU
rnacentral:rRNA from 1 species